CCCUGCCAGAACACGAGUUCCCUCAUUGAAACCAAUGACAUUUUUUGAGAGAAAAUUAUACUAUUUUUUUGCAGAAUGAACUACAUAAUUAAUGGACUAAAUAUAUGCUUAUGAAACAUUACUCAUCCUCCACUUAAUAUGAGCUAUUUGAAUGAAACCGUAACAUUUGUUCUUCAAUUCUUUUAUGGAAAUAAUACUGAAAUUGUAACCAGCUCUUUGUGGUGCUUCCAGAAGGAAUGCAGAUGCUUUAUUGAUAGGCUUUCCAUCUUAAAUUGUGUCGGAUUUGUCUGCAAAAAUGGGUCAAAAAUAUCUGAAAAAUUGGUCAUUGGUUUCCAUUGGUUUCAAUGAGGGCACUCGUGUUCUGGCAGGGACUCGCUUUUCGGCACGACAGGGUAAUCCAAGAACAUGUGCUGGAUCUCAAACCGUGUACUUGUGCACUUCUGUGCUCACGUUUUAAUGCGUAUGGCCGGCGUAUUAAUUACGCCCUAAAACACAAGUGCACCAUCUGAGACACUGCUAUGGUUAAGUGUUAAACCUAGCUACGGCGAAACCAACAGGAAGUGGUAAACCUGCUAAUAAAGCCCUCAGGUGUCAUGAUUUAGUUAAGAAAAUGGGGACCCCAGGCUCUUCUAUUAGAUGAUUUACCACGUCCCCCAAAGUUAUCUUAUUCAGUAGUGCAUUUCUUAACAACAUCGUUGCUAACUAAGUUUGCAACUUUCUUGGUUAACUGUAAUGCAAUUUCCCAUUGGCAUCUUAAGUUGCUAAUUGGUUAGCAAUGACACUGUCGAGAAACCGCAGCCCUGGUUUACUACUGAGCCAGGUUCUUGGAAUGGGUAAUUGCCCUAAUCACCUGCCAUCCACUGUGCCACAUGGGUGUUUAAGAGGUAAUUAGGAGGACUAUCACCUGGUUGAAUUGGCCUGGUAAAGCAGGGUCAUUCCACAACAGUUAAAGCACAUAGAGCUGUAUUAGGGUCUCCGCACAUCGGCUCCGACAAAGUGCUGAGCACUUCUCUGCCAAAGUUUGAUUCCAUUGUUGUCACGACAACCCCGCACACUGGCGCCGAUGUCCGCGGCCAUUCGUGGAUGUCGGCAAGAGAUUAGAGACGAGUUAUAUUUUGUCGGAGCCGCCCAUUGACUAUACAUGUUCUGUUGGGGUAAAAUUGUGUGCGGGACUUGGAAUUGUGUCGGAAGCUAAAUGUGCCAAUGUGCGGAGGCCCUUAAUGCAUGACCUGUGCUAUAUAAAGUUAUUAUUAAAUAUAAAUUAUUAUUAUUAUUAUUAUUUGAAAUAUGUGGAUUGUAACUCACUGGAGACGAGACCCUCCACUCUGAAGAGCAUGAAUGUGCAGCCUUUAUUCUCUUCCUCCUCAUUGUGAUCUACAAUGACAAGCUCCUGGUGCAAUACUUUCUGUCUUUUAAAUGACAUUCUGUUUUUGUUUUGUGAUGAAUUAUUUUAUACAUAAUUGGCGGUUUGUCUUUGCUAGUUAAACUCAUACAGAGUGGUCAUCCGAACAGUGCUGGCUCCAUUCAAAAGCUGCCAUGGCCAAAACUAGGAAGAGGCUUACCCUGUACGGUUAGUUCCUUUUAGAAUGUAGAGUCUAGAACCUUCUAGAAUCUCUCUAAUAGUAUUUCAAAUAAUUAGUAAGGUAUGAAAUGUGCUAACAACAAAAAUGGGAACUUUAUAAACUUGAAGAUGUUCUCUUCUGAUUGUCUUCCAUUGGACAGUUACGGUAUUCUAAUACAAGUAUCUAACCACUGUGUUCACUGUAGACUACUAGGUCCGAUCUGGUCCCUGCAUUUGGCCAGUUUUAAAGGUAUUGUUAUUUUCAAUGUGUUCGAGUAGCUUACUGUUGUGAUCCAUCCUGGUGGAUAUGAAUUUGACAUUUCAAACUGCAUGUACAGGCAUUAUUUAAGGACAUAUCAAUGCAAUGUGCCAGCGUUUUUGGUGCUGGCACUACUGUGAUUUUUUUUAGAAGCUGCUAACACGGUGAAGCAGUUUAUUCAUUCAGAAAGGGAAACAUAUUAAUAGUGUUUUUCUUGUUUGUUUGUUGACUGAGUUAUGAUGAACAAAUCAUUUCAUAUGCUGUGACAUGUUUCAUUGUUUUGAUUGACACAAAGAAGCCAUAUGUGUUUUCAUUGGUUUUGAAUAAGCUAGUGAUUGUUAGAAUGGUUUUAAUUACUUGGUACUUGAAGUAUGUGGUCUUUGCCUGUGCCUUUGUAGGGUAUGAAUACAAUAAACUAAUCCAACAUGUAUAA